rnacentral:rRNA from 1 species
CGAAGAGGUCACACCCGUUCCCAUACCGAACACGGAAGUUAAGCUCUUCAGCGCCGAUGGUAGUCGGGGGUUUCCCCCUGUGAGAGUAGGACGCCGCCAAGCA